GUCUGGUCGUGCGUCUACGGGUAGGAAAACCAGAAGCCACAGCCUAAAGUUCGCUUAGGUUGUAACCGGUGGUCGGGUCUUCCCGAUUUUUCAAAACCUUUCACCCAGAUUUAUCUAUUGCUAACAGUUUGCCCCACGGCUUUACCUUUAUCGUAAUCUAUCUAUCCAUCCAUUCAUCGCCCGCCUGUCCGUCCUAACCCAAUCACCAGGGACAAACCAAAGUCGGGUUUACUGACCCAUCGCAAUGAAGGAGACCACAUCCCAGAGGAGGAGCUGUGACGCAACGUUGUCAACAUCCACCCAAGUUGUGGCGUGUGUUAGUCCUCAUUCCUUUUCAUGGAUGGAUAUCAUCACGCUGUAUGGAUAUACCACAUUUUGUUUGUCAUCCGCCAGUGGAUGGACUGACGUCUGUUGAUGCUUCCACCUUUUGGCUAUUACGAACAACGCUGCUGUGAACAAGUCUACGAACUUCAUCGUGGACGUUGGCAUUCGUGUCUCUUGGAUAUCUACCUGGGAGUGGAAUUGCUGCAUCACAAGGUGUCCGUAACAGCAGUAGUUGUUACUGCAUCUGCUACAGACCUUCUAUAUUUGGGUUUAAUACUUUAAAAUAUGGAAAUUCAUGAAAGAAACCUCAACUAGAUUGGAGUUGAGUGGACCUGAAUGGGGAGUUCUCACACCCUGCUGCACAUCGUCAAUUACACCAAACAGGAAGCGAGGGACCUUUGCAUCUUGGACAGAAAGUAAAACUACUUUGCUACUGAAGGAAGAUUUCUUUCCCCACCUGGCAACAGCCCAGCCAAUGAGAAACACUGCAGCCCAGCCAAUGAGAAACACUGCAGCCCAGCCAAUGAGAAACACUGCAGCUCAGCCAAUGAGAAACGCCACAGCUCAGCCAAUGAGAAAUGCCACAGCUCAGCCAAUGAGAAAUGCCACAGCUCAGCCAAUGAGAAACACCACAGCUCAGCCAAUGAGAAACGCCGCAGCUCAGCCAAUGAGAAACACCACAGCUCAGCCAAUGAGAAAUGCCGCAGUUCAGCCACUUUUUAAAAAUGUUUUUCUCUCUGUUCUUCAGGUUGGAUAAUUUCUCUUGGUCUAUCUCCAAGUUCACUGGUUUCAUGUCCAACCUUCUGUGAAGCCCAGCCAGUGAAAUUCUCACCUCGAUUGUUGUAUUUUUCAGCUCUAGAAUUUCCACUUGACUCUUUUUUCAUAGCUUCUCUUUCCUACUAGGAUUGCCUAACUGUUCUUUAAUUGUGCAUAUCUUUUCCUUUAAGUCUUUGAACACAUUUGUAUUAGGAGCGUUAACAUUUUUGCAUAUUGCAAUACCUGUGUUAUCUUGGCAUUGGUUUCUAGUGACUGCUUUCUUUGUUGUCUAUGGUUCAUACUCUCCUGUUACUUCACAUGUGUAAUGGUUUUUAACUGGAUACUGGCCACUAUGCAUGAAAUACUGUAGAGACCCUGCAUUGUGUUAUGUUCCUCUGAAGAGUGUGUGUCUUGUUCUGGGAGGCAGUUAAGUCAGCUGGAUUCCAACUCCAAGCUCUGUACUCUCUGCAGUGGGCGGCAGCUGAAAGGUCUGCUCAGUUCUUUCAAAUUCCAGCUGUCGCUUUUUCACCAGGUGUCCCGGGUCCCCUCCGAACAGCAAUAAUCUAGUCAGCCAAGGAUUUGGAUGGAUUUCAUAUGCAGAUUUUUAAAUUUACCUUCUCUGGGGCUUCCUUCCCUCCCACAAUUUCCUCCUCUCUCACUGUCUUUCUGGCUGAUCUGUCAGCUUCUAACUCUUUCCUCUCACACCUCAAGCCAGUGAGGAUGCAGCAAGGGCACAGAGCCGACACCCAGAGGACAGACUCAC
ensembl:lncRNA